rnacentral:rRNA from 1 species
UACAGAGGUCUCAAGCGUUGUUCGGAUUCAUUGGGCGUAAAGGGCGCGCAGGCGGCGCGGCAAGUCGGGUGUGAAAUCUCGGAGCUUAACUCCGAAACUGCAUUCGAUACUGCCGUGCUUGAGGACUGGAGAGGAGACUGGAAUUUACGGUGUAGCGGUGAAAUGCGUAGAUAUCGUAAGGAAGACCAGUGGCGAAGGCGGGUCUCUGGGCAGUUCCUGACGCUGAGGCACGAAGGUCAGGGGAGCAAACGGG